GUAAAAUACAAAGUGACAUGAGUACUAGGAAGACAUUUCUAUUUCAGAAUAUAAUUAAGCUAGUGCUUGACUGAGAUGCUGGUUGUCUUCCCCUGGAGAAGUGAGACUUCAGCUGGCAUCUGAAGGACUAGCAGGGGCUAACCAGGCAAAUGGGGUAGAAUUCCAGGCAGAAGGAAGGACUUGUGCAGUGACCCUUCAGCAGGAGGGAAAAAAGCGCUGGCAAGGCCAGGUUGGCAGCUGCUCAGAGAAGAAGUGGAGAGUGGUGCAUGAUGAGGCUGGAGAGCUAGGCCAGGCAACACCAUGCCAGGCCUCGUAGACCAUGAUAAAGAACUUGGCGUCCUCCCAGGAAAAAAAGGAAGCUGUUCAAAGUUGCCUUUUUUUUUUCAAAGCAUGUUCACCAUGAUCCUCUCCUCUCAUCUUGAGAACCAUCCUGAGAGACAGUAUCAUCCCCAUCUCACCGAAGAGGAAAGCGAAGCCAUGAUGUUCCUGGGUCACAGGUCCAGUGAGGAAUUCAAACAGUAGUACCUGACACAGGCUGCUGACCUUGGAAGAUAGUUUUUGAAUGUGAAUGAAAUUUCCACUGAAAUUUCUAUGGAGUUUAAUUAAACCUAUGAAUGAAC
rnacentral:lncRNA from 1 species